CAAAACUAUGUUCAGCAAACCAGCUAGCAAGAAGCAAAAAACCUUGCAGAGUUUCUUCCAAACAAACCAUAAAGAGCAGGGUCAGAGUGGAGACAGUGGACCAGAGGCCAGCAAGGAUGAUCAUGCAGGAUAGAAGAGGGACAGGGAGAAACCAGGCAGGUAUCAGGACAGGGACCUGACAGCAGCAC